rnacentral:rRNA from 1 species
UACCAGACUCCUACGGGAGGCAGCAGUGGGGAAUAUUGCACAAUGGGGGGAACCCUGAUGCAGCAAUGCCGCGUGAAGGAUGAAGGUUUUCGGAUUGUAAACUUCUUUUGUACGGGACGAAGAAAGUGACGGUACCGUAAGAAUAAGCCACGGCUAACUACGUGCCAGCAGCCGCGGUAAUACGUAGGUGGCAAGCGUUGUCCGGAUUUACUGGGUGUAAAGGGCGUGCAGCCGGGAAGACAAGUCAGAUGUGAAAUCCCGCGGCUCAACCGCGGAACUGCAUUUGAAACUGUUUUUCUUGAGUAUCGGAGAGGUAAUCGGAAUUCCUAGUGUAGCGGUGAAAUGCGUAGAUAUUAGGAAGAACACCAGUGGCGAAGGCGGAUUACUGGACGACAACUGACGGUGAGGCGCGAAAGCGUGGGGAGCAAACAGGAUCAGAUACCCCAGUACUC